GGUCUGAUGGUCUAGUGGUAUGAUUCUUGCUUUGGGUGCAAGAGGUCCCGGGUUCAAUCCCCGGUCAGACCC
rnacentral:tRNA from 4 species